AAGUCGUAACAAGGUUUCCGUAGGUGAACCUGCGGUUGGAUCAUUAACAAAUUCAAACCCGAAAAGGUUAAGGAGGGUUAAACCUUCUUAACUUUUUUACACACAAUGUGAACUGUUUAUUGUCUCUGGUGGUGUUAAAAGGCUUUUUCUCUUAUGGGGGGAAAGUUGGGGUGUUCUUCACCUUACCCACCGAUUUUUUAAAUCUUAAUAUUUACUUAACUGGUCUUUAAAAAAAUAAAAAGUUUAAUUAAAAAACAACUUUUGGCAACGGAUCUCUAGGCUCUU
rnacentral:misc_RNA from 1 species